rnacentral:lncRNA from 1 species
AUUUGUUAGGAAUUGAUAAUAGUUGUGUUCAACAAAGUUGAUCACAACAGAUGAGAAUAACAAUUUUCACUGGUUUUUCAAACGGUCCACUCGAUCACUUUGUUUAAUAAUGCUAUGACCUUUCUGUAAAAUCAACAUUAACUACCUGGUUCAUGACUGAUGGGUUACCCUGCUUUUUCCACCAUGUAUCCUGACAGCCCCGUAUACUCUUCGGCCCAGUUCACUUGAACUGUUGAAACUCUCGAGUUAACUUUACUUACUCGGGUUUCAACUAUGGCCGAGUUCACUUGAAACUUUUGAGUUAACUUUACUAACUUGAGUUUUAAUAAUACGAUUUUACUUUAACCACUCUUACUCUAGUUCCAACCCUCACCGAGUCAGGGUUAAACUCGAGAAUUAAACUCUUGAAUGACGUCAAACCAAUGAGAAUAUCUUAUUUUUUAUGCUUGGUCAGGGCCUUAUCCUAGAGUUCCUUAGAGUUGUUCCUAAUAUCAACUCUACUGCAUUCACGUGAUAAUCUAUCAACUCUGAAGUCGAUUGUAGAGUUUCAAGUGAACUCGGCCAAUACGAUUUUACUUGAACGACUCGAGAUAACCCCUCAUACUCUAG